rnacentral:tRNA from 4 species
GGAGACGUGGCCGAGAGGCUGAAGGCACUCGUUUGCUAAAUGAGCGUACCCCUAAAAGGGUACCCAGGGUUCGAAUCCCUGCGUCUCCGCCA